UGGGCCUGGUCGGCCUCACCGAACGGGUCCGCCUGGCGGGCGGGCGGCUCGACCACGUCCGCGGCGACGGCCGGUUCCGCCUGCGGGCCCGGC
rnacentral:tRNA from 1 species